UACGAAGGGGGCUAGCGUUGUUCGGAAUUACUGGGCGUAAAGCGUGCGCAGGCGGUUAUGUAAGACAGAUGUGAAAUGCCCGGGCUUAACCUGGGAACUGCAUUUGUGACUGCAUGGCUAGAAUCUGGCAGAGGGGGGUAGAAUUCCACGUGUAGCAGUGAAAUGCGUAGAUAUGUGGAGGAACACCGAUGGCGAAGGCAGCCCCCUGGGUCAAGAUUGACGCUCAUGCACGAAAGCGUGGGGAGCAAACAGG
rnacentral:rRNA from 1 species